rnacentral:snoRNA from 1 species
AUGACCGUACUUGAGCAAGCCUUGUUCUAUAGGCUCUUACCACUAUUUCCUUGAGUUCGAAGGAGUUUGUUUGUACCAGUU